rnacentral:lncRNA from 1 species
UGCCACUCCUCCCGCCUUCCUGCCCUCCGCUGCCUGUGGCUCCUCACUUCCCCGGCCGUGCCGUCAGGGGCGCUCCAGAGCAGCCCCGGUGCCCACGUCUCAUCGCAGCCCUCUGGCAGGACAGCGCGCGUCUAAACUAAGCCGAGGCGCACUUCGCUAAGGGGACCUCUCCGUUUGGACAAUCCCGACGCCCGGCUCUACGUGAGGCGUUUUUCCCUCGUUCUCAUUCAUGGGCGGCGCUGGGCAUUCUCUGCCAUCCUUAGGGGUCCUCCACAGCAUGCGGGAGGCCGGCGCCCCAGGGCUCUUUCACCCCCCGCUGCUCUCGUUCCUCCACGUGUUCUCCCGAGCGACCCACCCGCGUUCAUGGUCCCAAACCCCCACCUAACCUCCAGCCAGCGCCCUUCUCCCGAGCUCCAGGCCCCUCCAGCUCCAGUGUGGGCAUCGUCCCCUGGUUCUCCUCAAGUCCACUUACACUCAGCCUCUUCCAGGCGGAAUUCCUCAUCUCCCACACAACCCUUUGCCGCUCUGGUAUCAGCUGGUGGCUUCUCCGUGGCCAUGCAGAGAAUAGAGACAGAACUUGAAACUGAUGUGCACAUGAGUGAGAUUCUUCAGCAAGGUGACAGACAGGAGGGUAAAGAGGAAGUAGGAUGAGCUCUUUGCUUUGAGUUUCUGUUUUCCAGGUCGGCUUGAUUGGAAAGAGGGAUGGCCGUGGUGAGAGUUGACAGUGUGCUGGUAGCCCUCGCAGCCCACGCUCGCUCUCGGCGCCUCCUCUGCCUGGGCUCCCACUUUGACGGCACUUGAGGAGCCCUCCAGCCCGCCGCCGCACUGUGGGAGCCCCUUGCUGGGCUGGCCGAGACCGGAGCCAGCUCCCUCAGCUUGCAGGGAGGUGUGGAGGGAGAGGCAUGGGCGGGAACCAGGGCUUCGCGGGUGCCUGCGGGCCAGCACGAGUUCCGGGUGGGCGUGGGCUCAGCGGGCCUCACACUGGGAGCCGCAGGCCGGCUCGCAAGUCCCGGGCAGUGAGGAGCUUACUACCCGGGCCAGCAGCUGCGGAGGGUGUGCCGGGUCCCCCAGCAGUGCCGGCCCACCGGCUCUGUGCUGGAUUUCUUGCCGUGCCUUAGCUGCCUCCCCUCGGGCAGGGCUGGGGACCUGCAGCCUGCCAUGCCUGAGUCUCCCUCCGCACUGCCAGAUGCUCCUGCCGGGCCUGAGUCUCCCCGACGAGCGCUGCCCCAUGUUCCACGGCGCCCGAUCCCAUCCACUGCCCAAGGUCUGAGGAGUGCCAGCGCACGGCGACGGAGUGGCAGGCAGCUCCACCUGCGGCCCCGGUGUGAGAUCCACUGGAUGAAGCCAGCUGGACUCCUGAGUCUGGUGGGGACUUGGAGAAUCUUUAUGUCUAGCUGGGGGAUUGUGAAUGCACCAAUCAGCACUCUGUAUCUAGCUCAAGGUUUGUAAACACACCAAUCAGCACCCUGUGUCUAGCUCAGGGUUUGUGAAUGCACCAAUCGACACUCUGUUUCUAGCUAAUUUAGUGGGGCCGUGGAGAACUUUUGUGUCGAACUCAGGGAUUGUAAACGCACCAAUCAGCACUCUGUCAAAAUGGACCAAUCAGCUCUCUGUAAAACAGACCAAUCGGCUCUCUGUAAAAUGGACCAAUCAGCAGGAUGUGGGUGGGGCCAGAUAAGAGAAUAAAAGCAGGCUGCUCCGCGCUAGCACUAGCAAGUUGCUAGAGUGGCCUGCCACAGUGUAAGUUUUGUUCUUUAGCUCUUUGCAAUAAAUCUUGCUACUGCCCACUCUUUGGGUUUACACUGCAUUUAUGAGCUGUAACACUCAUGGUGAAGAUUUACAGGUUCAGUCCUGAAGCCAGCGAGACAAAGAACCCACUGGGAAGAACAAACAACUCCAGACGCCCCAACUUAAGAGCUGUUAACACCCGAAGAUCUGCAGCUUCACUUUUGAGCCAGCGAGACCACGAACCCACCAGAAGGAAGAAACUCUGAACAGGCUGGAACGUCAGAAGGAACAAACUCAGGACAUGCCACCUUUAAGAACUGUAACACUCACUGUGAGGGUCUGCGGCUUCAUUCUUGAAGGCUGUGAGACCAAGAACCCACCAAUUUCGGACACACUGGGACCACCCUCGCUGACUGGAGCACUUGAGGCAAUCAUUCCCAGAUAGUGGAACCUCGAAUGGCAGACACUGUGGUUCUCCUGCGGGGCUGAGAACUGUGAGGAGCAGAGCAGACUUCAUGGAGCUCCACAAGUCACAUACACAGGCGGCUGCUGGCUAUUUCCGCUUUCUCAUCUGGAAUUGGCAGCGGACUAAGUGGGCCCUACUUAUUAGGUUGGUGCAAAAGUAAUCGCGAUUCUUGCCAUUAAAAGUAAUGGCAAAAGCUGCGAUUACUUUUGCACCAAUCUUACUAUAUAUAUAUUAUUUUUUCAAAUCUCAGUUUUAUUCUCAUUCCAGCAUCCUAAUGCUUUCCCUUUGGAUUUUUUUUUCUAAUCUUGAGAAGUUUGUGUUUUCAGUGUAGUAAUAACAAUAAUAGUGUUCUUAGCACACGCGUUACGCCAAGGGCUUUUAAAAGAUACUUUUCAUAAACCAACUCACUUAAUUCUCACAACAACUUUUGAAGUAGUCCACUUUCUAAUCCUCAUUUUACAGAUAAGGAAACUGAGGCACACAAGGUCAGCUAACCUGCCCGAGGUCUCUAGCUAGUGACUGGAAGAGGUGUUCUCUGGAUAUUAUUUGAAUCUCAGUCUCGCUAUAUUUCUUCGUCAUGACUGUAACUUUCCCCCUGUAUUUCUAAAUAUUUUAAUCUCUUGAUCAUAUAGCAUACGUUGAUUUAAUAAAUCACUUUUACAUGCAUUAUCGUAUUUGGUAUUCAUCACAGCUCUCUGAGGUGGGUAAGGGAGAUUUGGUUACUUCUUUCUGACAAAUGAGAAAAAUGAUGCUCAUAGACACUGUUAAGUUAGAAGCACAGGGCGUUAAUUCUGGAAGUGUUUUAAAGAUUACCCAAUCCAGCCACUCAACUUUUAGGAAAUUGAGCGUCAGAAAAAUAAAUGCCUUUCUCUAGUUCCCACAGCUGGCUGCAGUACCAAUCACCUGCCUCUGAGUUCAUUGCCAGCUGGGUGCUGUGGAACUUACCUUGACUUUGGAGUUAAUUAUCCAACUUCUCUGAGCUAUA